GACGAACGCUGGCGGCGUGCUUAACACAUGCAAGUCGAACGGAAAGGCCCUUCGGGGUACUCGAGUGGCGAACGGGUGAGUAACACGUGGGUGAUCUGCCCUGCACUUUGGGAUAAGCCUGGGAAACUGGGUCUAAUACCGAAUAGGACCACGCGCUUCAUGGUGUGUGGUGGAAAGCUUUUGCGGUGUGGGAUGGGCCCGCGGCCUAUCAGCUUGUUGGUGGGGUAAUGGCCUACCAAGGCGACGACGGGUAGCCGGCCUGAGAGGGUGACCGGCCACACUGGGACUGAGAUACGGCCCAGACUCCUACGGGAGGCAGCAGUGGGGAAUAUUGCACAAUGGGCGCAAGCCUGAUGCAGCGACGCCGCGUGAGGGAUGACGGCCUUCGGGUUUAAACCUCUUUCACCAGGGACGAAGCGUAAGUGACGGUACCUGGAGAAGAAGCACCGGCCAACUACGUG
rnacentral:rRNA from 1 species